rnacentral:rRNA from 1 species
AUACGGAGGGUGCAAGCGUUAUUCGGAAUCACUGGGCGUAAAGGACGCGUAGGCGGGUUGGCAAGUCAGAUGUGAAAUCCUACAGCUUAACUGUAGAACUGCAUUUGAAACUGCUAACCUAGAGUAUGGGAGGGGGAGAUGGAAUUAGUGGUGUAAGGGUAAAAUCCGUAGAUAUCACUAGGAAUACCGAAAGCGAAGGCGAUCUCCUGGAACAUAACUGACGCUAAGGCGUGAAAGCGUGGGGAGCAAACAGGAUUAGAAACCCUAGUAGUCC